rnacentral:rRNA from 1 species
UGCAAGUCGAGCGGUAGCACAGAGAGCUUGCUCUCGGGUGACGAGCGGCGGACGGGUGAGUAAUGUCUGGGAAACUGCCUGAUGGAGGGGGAUAACUACUGGAAACGGUAGCUAAUACCGCAUAACGUCGCAAGACCAAAGUGGGGGACCUUCGGGCCUCAUGCCAUCAGAUGUGCCCAGAUGGGAUUAGCUAGUAGGUGGGGUAACGGCUCACCUAGGCGACGAUCCCUAGCUGGUCUGAGAGGAUGACCAGCCACACUGGAACUGAGACACGGUCCAGACUCCUACGGGAGGCAGCAGUGGGGAAUAUUGCACAAUGGGCGCAAGCCUGAUGCAGCCAUGCCGCGUGUAUGAAGAAGGCCUUCGGGUUGUAAAGUACUUUCAGCGGGGAGGAAGGCGAUAAGGUUAAUAACCUUGUCGAUUGACGUUACCCGCAGAAGAAGCACCGGCUAACUCCGUGCCAGCAGCCGCGGUAAUACGGAGGGUGCAAGCGUUAAUCGGAAUUACUGGGCGUAAAGCGCACGCAGGCGGUCUGUCAAGUCGGAUGUGAAAUCCCCGGGCUCAACCUGGGAACUGCAUUCGAAACUGGCAGGCUAGAGUCUUGUAGAGGGGGGUAGAAUUCCAGGUGUAGCGGUGAAAUGCGUAGAGAUCUGGAGGAAUACCGGUGGCGAAGGCGGCCCCCUGGACAAAGACUGACGCUCAGGUGCGAAAGCGUGGGGAGCAAACAGGAUUAGAUACCCUGGUAGUCCACGCCGUAAACGAUGUCGAUUUGGAGGUUGUGCCCUUGAGGCGUGGCUUCCGGAGCUAACGCGUUAAAUCGACCGCCUGGGGAGUACGGCCGCAAGGUUAAAACUCAAAUGAAUUGACGGGGGCCCGCACAAGCGGUGGAGCAUGUGGUUUAAUUCGAUGCAACGCGAAGAACCUUACCUGGUCUUGACAUCCACAGAACUUAGCAGAGAUGGUUUGGUGCCUUCGGGAACUGUGAGACAGGUGCUGCAUGGCUGUCGUCAGCUCGUGUUGUGAAAUGUUGGGUUAAGUCCCGCAACGAGCGCAACCCUUAUCCUUUGUUGCCAGCGGUUAGGCCGGGAACUCAAAGGAGACUGCCAGUGAUAAACUGGAGGAAGGUGGGGAUGACGUCAAGUCAUCAUGGCCCUUACGACCAGGGCUACACACGUGCUACAAUGGCAUAUACAAAGAGAAGCGACCUCGCGAGAGCAAGCGGACCUCAUAAAGUAUGUCGUAGUCCGGAUUGGAGUCUGCAACUCGACUCCAUGAAGUCGGAAUCGCUAGUAAUCGUAGAUCAGAAUGCUACGGUGAAUACGUUCCCGGGCCUUGUACACACCGCCCGUCACACCAUGGGAGUGGGUUGCAAAAGAAGUAGGUAGCUUAACCUUCGGGAGGGCGCUUACC